rnacentral:lncRNA from 1 species
CAAUAAAUUAGCCACAUAUUGCAUGUAUUGAUAUCUUAUGAUACAAGUUAACCAUAUAGUACAAAUAUAAAAAAAUUAUCUUGCAAGUUUGACAAGUAUCUUGCAAGUUGGAUACAUGUUAGGGAUCCUACAGAAUAUUGCAACACAACCCUUAGUUAGAUAGUAUAUAUGGAGGCAAGAUUGAAGCUUUCUUUACUCUUGUCAAUGCCUUUCUAGUCCUUAGUCUUAUUUCAAGAUUUUCUAGUCUUUUUGUCUUUAGUAAUUGUGAGUGUAAAUUUUCACUCCUCAAUCCAAGUUAUAAGAUGGCUUCAAUUUAGAAUUUCUUAUAAUUGGUGGUAUAAAGUGAAGUAAGCAAAUAAC